CAGAUAUUUCCUCGUGUGAACCCUUCACAAACUGCACCUACAAAUCAAAUUCAGCCAACAAACAUGUUGUCAUUAAUGAAUACGACCGGAAAAACAGUACCGGAUCCUGAAGCUCAACAGUACAAUUCUGUUGGCGGAACUGAUCAAGAGUUUGGUUAUCCACAGAAUCCAAACGUCUCUAACUCUUAUCCACCAACAUAUAUAAACGCCUAAUAAUGUAGAUCUCAAACACUAAUCAGUGUAGUUAAAGUAGUUGUUAUCUUUGAUAGAUUGAAGCAAUGAAUCGCUAGACAAAUGAGCCUCAUGAGGCGCCAUCCAGGUGAAAGUGGAUGAGGAUAAGAAAUGUGUACAGAUUA
rnacentral:lncRNA from 1 species